GAAAGACAUCUCCCAUCUUUUCAUAAACAAUUGGCGCUAAUGCAGUCACUCCAACUCUGCGCCGCUCCUCACGCCUCUCCUCUCUCCUGGCUCUGUCUGUCUGUCUUGUGCAGAUACUAAUUGUGCUGGGAGGUAAACACGGCAGUCAAGUGGAGCGGGCGGCGAGUCAAGCGUGAAUAUCAAUCUCCCCACAUCAGUGUCAGAUGACUUUGACGGAGUUCAGGCCCAGAUCAUUAGUGUGUGCAGGAUUACAGGGUUACAAUGCAACAUCAGCAGUUAUUCCUGGGCAGCUGUCAGCACCAACCGCCUUAAUAUUCAUUGACUGGGAAGAAGAAAAGCUUCAAAAACCACUUUGUAAACAGCCUCUUUAGUGGAUCUCAACUAUGCCAAAUCCAGUCCGGUCUGGUCCAGCGCUGGCCUGAGGAGCAGUGGGCACCUGGUAGAGGGCCCAUCCAUCUCCAGUCUGACAAGCCCUGGCUCCGGUCCAGGCCUUUAGCACGGGCAUUACAGCAGAAGCACCAGAGAGCAACGCCGGACACUACUGCAGACAGAGG